CGGAGGGUGCAAGCGUUGUUCGGAUUUAUUGGGCGUAAAGGGCGUGUAGGCGGUCCGUUAAGUCUGAUGUGAAAGCCCUGGGCUCAACCCAGGAAGUGCAUUGGAAACUGGCGGACUUGAGUACGGGAGAGGGCAGUGGAAUUCCUAGUGUAGGAGUGAAAUCCGUAGAUAUUAGGAGGAACACCGGUGGCGAAGGCGGCUGCCUGGACCGAUACUGACGCUGAGACGCGAAAGCGUGGGGAGCAAACAGGAUUAGAUACCCUGGUAGUCCACGCCGUAAACGAUGAGCACUAGGUGUUGCGGGUAUUGACCCCUGCAGUGCCGCAGCUAACGCAUUAAGUGCUCCGCCUGGGAAGUACGGUCGCAAGACUA
rnacentral:rRNA from 1 species